rnacentral:tRNA from 1 species
GUGGGUAUGGCUCAGCUGGUUAGAGCGUCAGGUUGUGGCCCUGAAGGCCGACGGUUCGAAUCCGUUUACUCACCCCA